rnacentral:rRNA from 1 species
CCCUUAGAUGUUCUGGGCCGCACGCGCGCUACACUGAUGCAUUCAACGAGUUCCUACCUUGGCCGAGAGGCCUGGGCAAUCUUUUGAACUUGCAUCGUGAUAGGGAUAGAUUAUUGCAAUUAUUAAUCUUGAACGAGGAAUUCCUAGUAAAUGCAAGUCAUCAGCUUGCGUUGAUUACGUCCCUGCCCUUUGUACACACCGCCCGUCGCACCUACCGAUUGAAUGUUUCGGUGAAACUUUCGGACCGCAGUUUUUGGACCCUCGGGUCCUCUGACUGUGGAAAGUUAUUUAAACCUCAACAUUUAGAGGAAGGUGAAGUCGUAACA